rnacentral:rRNA from 1 species
GACGAACCGUGCGAACGUUGUUCGGAAUCACUGGGCUUAAAGGGCGCGUAGGCGGGCGGCUUUGUCAGGGGUGAAAUCUUUCGGCUUAACCGGAAAACAGCCUCUGAAACGGGCCGUCUCGAGGGAGGUAGGGGCAUGCGGAACUUCCGGUGGAGCGGUGAAAUGCGUAGAUAUCGGAAGGAACGCCGGUGGCGAAAGCGGCGUGCUGGACCUCUUCUGACGCUGAGGCGCGAAAGCCAGGGGAGCAAACGGG